AAUCAACGCUGGCGGCGUGCCUAACACAUGCAAGUCGAACGCGAAAGCCCCGCAAGGGGUAAGUAGAGUGGCAAACGGGUGAGUAACACGUGGGUGAUCUGCCUCAGAGUGGGGGAUAACGACCCGAAAGGGUCGCUAAUACCGCAUAACAUCCUGCGCUUGGAUGCGUGGAGAUCAAAGUUGGGGAUUCGCAAGAACCUGACGCUUAGAGAGGAGCCCGCGGCCGAUUAGCUAGUUGGUGAGGUAACGGCUCACCAAGGUAACGAUCGGUAUCCGGCCUGAGAGGGCGGACGGACACACUGGGACUGAGAC
rnacentral:rRNA from 1 species